UUAUGGAUGGUUGUUAGCUACUGUGUGGAUGCUAGGGACCAAACCUGAGUCCUCUGCAAGAGCUUUUAACUGCUGAGCC
rnacentral:miRNA from 1 species